AUUGAACGCUGGCGGCAUGCCUUACACAUGCAAGUCGAACGGCAGCACGGGUGCUUGCACCUGGUGGCGAGUGGCGAACGGGUGAGUAAUAAAUCGGAACAUGUCCUGUAGUGGGGGAUAGCCCGGCGAAAGCCGGAUUAAUACCGCAUACGAUUUACGGAUGAAAGCGGGGGACCUUCUGGCCUCGCGCUAUAGGGUUGGCCGAUGGCUGAUUAGCUAGUUGGUGGGGUACAGGCCGACCAAGGAGACGAUCAGUGGCUGGUCUGAGAGGACGACCAGCGACACGAGGACUGAGACACGGCCCAGACUCCUACGGGAGGCAGCAGUGGGGAACUUUGGCCAGUGGGCGAAUGCCUGAUCCAGCAAUGCCGCGUGUGUGAAGAAGGCCUUCGGGUUGUAAAGCACUUUUGUCCGGAAAGAAAUCCUUGGCUCUAAUACAGUCGGGGGAUGACGGUACCGGAAGAAUAAGCACCGGCUAACUACGUGCCAGCCGCCGCAGUAA
rnacentral:rRNA from 1 species